UUUUCCUUCUUCUUACGGUAGUUCCUUUCAUCCCUCGGCUUCCUCUCAUCCCUCGGCAGCCUCACCUCGAAAAUUCGAUGAAAACUCAUCAAACUUUCCCCUUCUUCUCUUGAAACUUCACAUCUAAUUAAUGGGAUUGAUUUCCCCAUAAAAUCCCCCAAACUAUCAAGAGGAUCGUGCCCUCAAAAGCCUUCAAGCCAAAGCUCCGAGAAUCCUUCGCUUUACUCUUCCUCUUUGUCUUCGAUUUUCUUCAAAGAUAGUUAUGUGGACGGGGAUGGGAAACAAGAUGAAAUUGUUGAUCGGGGUUGAGGAGAAUGUGAUGUAGAGGAAGAUAGAUACUAAGGCCAUGGCUUGUCGAUAUUGAAGGCAAAUAGAGAAGAGUGGUGUUAGGAAUGUGACCUGAAAAUUGAGGGCACAAGAGAUGGCAGUGACGCAGAAAAAUACAAACGAGUUUAUAGCUCAGAAGAGAUUGUGUUUUCUAUAAAUAAGAUAGUUAUGUUUUGUAAUUCAUAACAAAUUCUUAGCACUAGAUACUACUAGCCAAAUGAUGCUCUGAAAGAUUGGAAAUGAUAUAAUUUUUUUUAUA